CCCAUGGAGAUUGGAGUUAUUAGAGGACCCCUUACCGCAGAUGAAAGAAUGAGACGUAAAACCAACCAUCUCUGUAUGUAUUGUGGCAAUUCCAACCAUAUGGUCACAGAUUGCCCCAUCUUACGCAAGAACAAAAAGAUGGGACCUUAGAAGACUCACAACCAAUGCCAUAGUGGACUCCGGAGCUUUUGGCAAUUUCAUAGAUAUCAGCACUGUUCAAAAAAAUAAAAUACCUACCGUAUUAAAAAAAA